ensembl:lncRNA novel transcript
GAACAGAGAGGGAGCUUGUGCAAAUUCACAGAGAAAACUGUGGAGCCAGAAAAGACAUACUGUUCUUUCCAAUAUGAUGUGGAAGUCUGAAAGAUUAGGAAUUGUUUGGCUUGACGCUUCAUCAUAACUCCCACAGGCCCUUCAUUCCACAGUUGAAAUUCUUCUGGGAAAUCUAUUUGACUCUGCAUUUCACACGUCAAAAUCAUUUUCUUCCUUCCUGGUUGGGAAACAGCAAUUAAGGUUCUUCAGUUUAGCAAAAGUUACAAUAUGUCGAUGUCUUGCACAGCCUGUUGCUAAAUUCCCCCAAGACCUUGAGGUGCACUCCAUUCAGACAACUUCUCUUCCCUCUUAGGGUACUUUGCACAGGUUGGGCAACAGAAAAUGACUAAAAGAAAUACAAUAUUUAUUGGAUAGCAUAAAACCUAGUCUUUUUUUUCCAAUAAACUGACAGUUUUCUACACUCUUGCCUAACUCUUCCAAAUUUUCUUAACCAUCCUUCCCCUCCCGUAUGAUCA